rnacentral:lncRNA from 1 species
AUAAACGUAUGUACACCGGUAAAAAAAGAAUGAAGAAGAGGAAGGAAGGACACAAGAAAAACCUAUGUCCACCAAAAUGGCCACUGAAUAUUCGAUGACACGAGGACGAUCAACCACGUCAACAAGAUCUUUGCCCCUAGCUCCCACAACAAAAGUACGACGACGACGACGACGACGACGACGACGACGAAAACGUCGACACGUAGUUAUCUCUGUAUCUCCGUAUACAGGCCACACAUUAUACGGGCUACGAGAAGCGUAUCUCCGAGCUAGACUGGCAGACAGCAUGCAUGUAAGCCGGGGCAAGGAGCGAACAAUGCAAGGUGGCUGUGUGGCGUCUGCAUGUUCAAUCGAAAUUAAUAAAUAAAGGCAUUAGUUUGCUACCGACGCGGCGGCGGCGACCGGCGACCGGCGACGGCGACGUGGCAGAGGCCAUGGCCCGUCGCCUUCCUUGUGGACGAGAGGAGAAUUGAUCGAAUCGAAGCAGCGGCAGGAAUGACCGGCCGGAGAGCGAUCGAGAAGACGACACUCAGGGAUAGCGAGCGAACCAAGGAGAGCAUUUUGAUUGGAUUAUUGGAUCCAUGAUGAUUUGGUUGAUGAUGGAUGAAAACCAGGCACAUCCUACCUGCGAUUGAUUGCUUGCUUGCAUGAGUAAAAUUGUUUUAGGUAAAAUAUUUAAUUAUCUUACCGUUGGGUAAAAUUGUUUUUUUCUUCUUUUUUUUGCUUAUAUUGUGUUGUGUUAGGUCAGUCUCAAUGGUGAGUUUUAGGGCGUUGUUUCGAAGACUGUUGUAUCAUAGAAAAUAAAAUCAAACUAUGAUGAAACACUCAUUUUCAAUGGACAGUUUCAUUCUCUAGUUUCAAAAUCAUUUAAUUUCAAGACUUAUAGAGAGUUGGUAACUAUGCCAAGAGAAACUCAUUCCUUCUCUUCUUUUUAAAAAUACACUAUCAUGUUAUAAAAAUGUCUAUAUGGUAAUUUAUUUAAUACAAAUAAAACUUACUUGAAACUUUCACUGUGACUAACCUUAUAGUUACUUUGAUGUUCUAGUAGAAAUCUUAUUUUCAUUUUCUAAUGAUAGAUUCGUUAUGCCGUUGAGAAUGUUCUAAUUUUGUGCGUUUAUCGGCUUAUGCAAAUAUGCAUUAUCUAUUAUGAUUCAAUAAAUUUGCCAUAUAUAUAUACACCCUAGGUCU